rnacentral:rRNA from 1 species
UACGUAGGGUGCAAGCGUUGUCCGGAAUUAUUGAGCGUAAAGAGCUCGUAGGCGGUUUGUCGCGUCGAAUGUGAAAACCCGGGACUCAACUCCGGGCCUGCAUUCGAUACGGGCAGACUAGAGUUCGGUAGGGGAGACUGGAAUUCCUGGUGUAGCGGUGAAAUGCGCAGAUAUCAGGAGGAACACCGGUGGCGAAGGCGGGUCUCUGGGCCGAUACUGACGCUGAGGAGCGAAAGCGUGGGGAGCAAACAGG